rnacentral:rRNA from 1 species
GCAUAUCAUAAGCGGGAGGGAAAAGAAACCAACAGGGAUUGCCCUAGUAACGGCGAGUGAAGCGGCAACAGCUCAAAUUUGAAAUCUGGCCCCUUUGGGGUCCGAGUUGUAAUUUGCAGAGGGUGCUUUGGCGUUGGCGGCGGUCUAAGUUCCUUGGAACAGGACAUCGCAGAGGGUGAGAAUCCCGUAUGUGGUCGCAUGCCUUCGCCGUGUAAAGCCCCUUCGACGAGUCGAGUUGUUUGGGAAUGCAGCUCUAAAUGGGAGGUAAAUUUCUUCUAAAGCUAAAUACCGGCCAGAGACCGAUAGCGCACAAAGUAGAGUGAUCGAAAGAUGAAAAGCACUUUGGAAAGAGAGUCAAACAGCACGUGAAAUUGUUGAAAGGGAAGCGCUUGCAGCCAGACUUGCCUGUAGUUGCUCACCCGGGCUCCUGCCCGGGGCACUCUUCUGCAGGCAGGCCAGCAUCAGUUUGGGCGGUCGGAUAAAGGGCUCUGACACGUACUUCCCUUCGGGGUUGACAUACAGGGGAGCCGCAAUGCGACCAGCCCGGACUGAGGUCCGCGCAUCUGCUAGGAUGCUGGCGUAAUGGCUGUAAGCGGCCCGUCUUUGAAACACGGACCAAGGAGUCUAACAUCUAUGCGAAGUGUUUGGGUGUCAAGCCCGAGCGCGCAAUGAAAGUGAACGGAGGUGGGAACCCCUCGGGGUGCACCAUCGACCGAUCCUGAUGUCUUCGGAUGGAUUUGAGUAAGAGCAUAGCUGUUGGGACCCGAAAGAUGGUGAACUAUGCUUGAAUAGGGUGAAGCCAGAGGAAAACUCUGGUGGAGGCUCGCAGCGGUUCUGACGUGCAAAUCGAUCGUCAAAUUUGGCAUAGGGCGAAAAGACUAAUCGAACUAUCUAGUAGCUGGUUCCUGCCGGA